UACGUAGGGGGCAAGCGUUGUCCGGAUUUAUUGGGCGUAAAGAGCGUGUAGGCGGCUUGGUAGGUCCGCUGUGAAAACUCGAGGCUCAACCUCGAGAUGUCGGCGGAAACCACUUGGCUAGAGUCCGGAAGAGGAGAGUGGAAUUCCCGGUGUAGCGGUGAAAUGCGCAGAUAUCGGGAGGAACAUCAGUGGCGAAAGCGACUUCCUGGACCAAUACUGACGCUCAUGUGCGAAAGCGUGGGGAGCAAACAGG
rnacentral:rRNA from 1 species